rnacentral:rRNA from 1 species
UACGGAGGUGGCAAGCGUUGCUCGGAAUCACUGGGCGUAAAGGGCGCGUAGGCGGCGCAACAAGUCACUUGUGAAAUCUCCGGGCUUAACCCGGAGCGGUCAAGUGAUACUGUCGUGCUAGAGUGCGGAAGGGGCUACUGGAAUUCUCGGUGUAGCGGUGAAAUGCGUAGAUAUCGAGAGGAACACCUGCGGCGAAGGCGGGUUGCUGGGCCGACACUGACGCUGAUGCGCGAAAGCCAGGGGAGCGAACGGG